UUAUCCUACGGGGGGCAGCAGUGGGGAAUAUUGCACAAUGGGGGAAACCCUGAUGCAGCGACGCCGCGUGAGUGAAGAAGUAUUUCGGUAUGUAAAGCUCUAUCAGCAGGGAAGAAGCAAGACGGUACCUGACUAAGAAGCCCCGGCUAACUACGUGCCAGCAGCCGCGGUAAUACGUAGGGGGCAAGCGUUAUCCGGAUUUACUGGGUGUAAAGGGAGCGUAGACGGUA
rnacentral:rRNA from 1 species